GACGAACGCUGGCAGCGUGCCUAAUACAUGCAAGUUGAGCGCUGAAGGUUGGUACUUGUACCAACUGGAUGAGCAGCGAACGGGUGAGUAACGCGUGGGGAAUCUGCCUUUGAGCGGGGGACAACAUUUGGAAACGAAUGCUAAUACCGCAUAAAAACUUUAAACACAAGUUUUAAGUUUGAAAGAUGCAAUUGCAUCACUCAAAGAUGAUCCCGCGUUGUAUUAGCUAGUUGGUGAGGUAAAGGCUCACCAAGGCGAUGAUACAUAGCCGACCUGAGAGGGUGAUCGGCCACAUUGGGACUGAGACACGGCCCAAACUCCUACGGGAGGCAGCAGUAGGGAAUCUUCGGCAAUGGACGAAAGUCUGACCGAGCAACGCCGCGUGAGUGAAGAAGGUUUUCGGAUCGUAAAACUCUGUUGGUAGAGAAGAACGUUGGUGAGAGUGGAAAGCUCAUCAAGUGACGGUAACUACCCAGAAAGGGACGGCUAACUACGUG
rnacentral:rRNA from 1 species